GAUUUUAAGAUCCUUUCAAUGGCUCAACACCUUUGUAGCCUAUUUUCUGAGAGAUUCCUUCACUUCCAUCAGCGUUUAAUAGGAGUUCAAAUUCUGUUUCAAUGAAAAGAUAUGAUGAUGUCCAUCAAAAGCAAGCAAUUCUCACUCCAGAAAAUAUAUGAGAAAAGAGGUGGGCCUCACAGUUCUGGGCAGGAGUUUUGGGCUAUGUUAGACCAGCAAAGAGAGUGAAUUCCAGCAUCCAAGGUUCUCCACUGAGGACUCUAUGCUUCCAGGUAUAUAAAUUUAGAUACUGUUAGCUCAGCUGCUCUAUUCUAUUCAGGUGCAUAUGCAACACCAAUUUCCAUGGUCUUCAACUGACAUGACAGUAUUUAGGGAGGAGAGAAGUCACUGAUUUAAGUGACGCAAAAAAAAGGCCACAUUCUGAGCUUCAUCUAAGAUGCACUCAGGAACAUGAUUGGAGCCUAAAUACUUUUAGAAAGACGUGUGUUGUAGGUGCAGAUGUGGCAUAACCAGAUCUUACUAGUUCAUGGCGAAUAGCAGCUAUGAUAGAUGGGGACAAGAUAGAUAUUCUGCCUCAGAGAUAAGCCUACUAAAUCAGGGUGGGCUGUGACCUGGGACUUCUAAAUUGUGAAAUGCAAAAGGGUGUGGCUGCAUGUAGCAUGCAUGCUACAUUUUCCAUGAGUGUGGUCUUUGAAUUGUAGAUCCACUGAUACAGUGUUCUGUUUUGGAGUAGAGAUUUUCUCUUUGUAGUGCCAGGCUAUUUUACCAGUACUUUUCCCUUCCUGUCAGGUGCCUGCCAAGUGCUCUUAUUUUCACUAUUGAGUGCAAGAUUUAUAAUAUCCUGCAUUUAUCUCCACUUUCUCAGCAAACUGCCUGUGGAGUGGAUGAAUAAUUCAGUCAUGCCAGUUUGAUUCUAUACAUUUUUAGCUUCUUCCACUCUGAACAAGAUUUGGCCCAUUCUAGGAGGGCAAAAGAAAAACAAUAAGUGGCUUUUCUGAACAUGAUCCUCCUCCCAAAUUUUAA